rnacentral:pre_miRNA from 1 species
GCGGCACCUAUGUGUGUAGGAUUCCAAAGGAUCACUAUUAAAUUUGGCAUAGAUUUUUAGAAAAGUUAUCACAUAGGUGUGGGACUUGAUUUUUUUAGAGAUUUGUGCCAAAUUUAAUGGUUAUCCUUUGGGGUCUUACACAUAUGGGUGUGGG